CGCGGGGUAGAGCAGUCUGGUAGCUCGUUGGGCUCAUAACCCAAAGGUCGCUGGUUCGAAUCCAGCCCCCGCAACCA
rnacentral:tRNA from 1 species